GAGCGAACUGCAUGACCUUGAGUGUCAGGAUUCGGCCGCCCGGCGCAAGUGCGGAUUUGGCCGGCCAGCCGACGAAGCUCGUGA
rnacentral:sRNA from 1 species